UUUCUCAAUAAAACUCCCGGUUUUAUUAGAAACGAUCGUUUUAGGAAACGAAUUGCUGCCCGGUUUUCAUUAAAUCAAGUGAGUGUGUAGUUACUUUCACCUUACACAUAGAUAUGAAGUAUUUUACAUAAAAUACGUGUUGUGUGAAUAUAUAUUGUUUGUUUAUUUGAGAUGGGUGCUGAAGGAAUGAUUUAUACAUGUUUUUAAAUAAUUUAAACUAUAUAUGUAUUUUUAUCUACGAAAAAUGUUGGGUAAAACAUGGGUAGAUGAAAUAGUGGGUAUGAUGAAAGAUGAGUUGGAUAAAGGAGAUGAUCAAUAAUAUUGAUCAUGAGUUGAGGGUGAGUGGUGAAAUUUGAGAGAAUCACUUACCCAAAAUGUUGGCCCGUGUCAUUCAGCAGAAUAUGGAUGACAACCAUGGACUAUUCUAGAUAGUCUAUGGAACACUAACAGGCCCGCAACCUGUAGGUGUAAUGAACUAUAUGUUCAUUUGUUGUACUCUAAAACCCAUUGACAUGUAUUGCAGGAGAGAACACCUGUAAAUAAUAUUGUCGAUAAAUGAGAGCUAUGGACUUAGCACAUGUUGAAUAAACUUUGGCAGCUAUGGAAUUAGUGCCCGUUGUAUAAACCCCGGUCACGAGGUGACUUUGUGUCUAUUCCUUAGGAUGAAUCCUUAGGAAGGAGUGAUAGUUGAUUCUUAGGGUAAACCCUUAAGAAAUAAAUAAAAUAAUGGGGUUUGGGGUAAUUCGGUUGAUUGAUUGAUGUUUAAACAUAAUAAAUUUAUGUAUUGUGGGUUGAAAACCCUAUAUGCUCACCAGGCUUCCAAGCCUGACCCACUCAGCUGUUUAUAUUACAGGUAGAGGACCCCGAGCAUAGUCGGAUGAUGAUGAUGAGUGAAUUUUGGAUUAUAGGCCAGUAGUUACAAAUAACUGUCGUAAGGCUUAUAAUGUCUUGUUUAUGCUUUUGAUCUGUAUUGGAACAUGACAUCCCGAGGUUUUGAUAUAAAAGGAAAUGAUAUAUUUCUUAAAGAAAGGUUUUGACAAACUUUUAUCAUAUUUUGUUUUGGGGACCAACUCCGCAACAUCUUUUAUAAAGAUUUCUCUGAUUUGAUUUUUAAAAAGCAUAAAUUAAAUCGGUCUUUUCUGGCCGAGAAAUUAGGGGAUGUCACAGUUGGUAUCAGAGCAUUAGUUUAAGCGAACUAAGAAAUUGUAGAAUUUCUAGACUUGAACUUAGAAUGCUAAGUGAUGAUUGUGAGAUGAGUGUCUACCAUAUUUUAGACACGAGCACUAGUUUAUUUUAGGGAAGAUGCCUAAAAUGCCCUUAUGUGCUAAAUGUUUUGUGUUAUAGCUAUAAUGAUGCUAUUAUUUGUUCGGAUCUAUGGUCUGUUGCCGACCGGAUCUGGAAACCUUAUGUGUGUAGGAUUCUAAACGUAUGACUACGAUAUUGGAACUAACAUAUAAACGUUUCGAAGACUUAACAUCUAACAAAAAUGAAGAUCUAAAUUCACCUACGAUUGGUGUAUAGAUCGAAAUGCCGAGUACUCAAAGUGGGUUCGGAAGUGAUAAUCCACAGCCUGAGCCAAUCACGAUGACUGGAGUGCAGGCAAUGGUACGUACGAUGUUAGGUGAACAGAUGGAAGAAACAAAACGUUUACUUCAACAAAGUAAGGAUGAACUUAUUGUGCCAGUACUUCAGGCAUCUGUUCUUGAGGCAACUAUUAGGGUUGCCAAGUCUAUUGAGGAAAUGAUCAAUGACACAACCGCCAACAAAGUUGAAGUUGGCAAGAAGAGGAAAUUUGAGGGGUCUUCAAGGCCCAACAAGAGCAACAUAUCCUCAAAGUUUGGCAAAAGAAGAGAUAAAGGAAAAUGGUGCGGGAAGUGCAAAAAUAAACACUCUGGGAAUUGUGACGGGAAGGUGAAGUGCUUUAAGUGUGGAGAAAUAGGGCAUUACGCCAAUAAGUGUACGAUUCCCAAGGAGGUGUGCUACGGAUGUAAAGAAGAAGGCCAUAUUUCUAAGAAUUGUCAGAAGAACAAUGAAGUAACAAGGCCAAGUGCACCAUCAAUGCCAAAGGAAUUUCAGGAUAUCCUUGACGAAGCGAUUAAUAAUACUAGGAAGUAGAAGUCAAGACUUGAUACCCGAAGAUCAAGUUACGAAGUAGUAAUGUGAAUAGUAACAAGUAGUUUAGCCUAUGAGAGGCAUAGUAUAGGGUAAACUUGAACCUUUGUGUAAUCGUUUCAAGGAAAUAAAAUAAACCCUGGUUUUGUCGUCUGAUGAAUAGAAUGGCUGGUGUAAUUUUUGAAGUUGUCCCAAUCAUCUGGAAUUUCCAUCACCAACCAAGUUGAAGUAGAGUUGAUCAUUGAAGAUACGCGUGAAAGAAGUCCUAGUAGAGUCUAGGAAAAUUUUAUGAUUAAUUGGACACAUUUGUAUGUGUUAAAUUGUUUUGUGAUUUUAGGACUUGGGGACUGCGAGACAGUACUUGGGACGAGUAUGAGUAGGUGUGAAUAGUAGUAGAGAUCUAUACUACUGGAAGCACAGGACUCGCACUUGGAUCAGGGAAAGUCACAAGGUUACCAAGAAGCUAUUAUUUGAUUCCGUCUUGUUCUAGUCUGUCGUUACCAUCGUUUCGGUAAUGACUAAGAAGAUGAUUGUUAUUCCGACCUUAGAGGUCAUAUCAAAUUGAGUCCGACUACGAUGAGUUUAUUAUGUGGUUCAGAGAACCAAGUUCGAUGUAACAUUUGACUUAAGCCAGAAGAUUGAAAUGAAAGAUGAUCAAAACGAUCAAUAGAAGUAUCGCACUCAUUGUUAAAGAAGUUGGUUGUUAGAAAUGAUACAUGUUGAACGGUGAUUGUAUCUCAUUAGAACAUGAAGGAAGGUAUAAUUUGUUCUGAAAUUUGUCCCUAGGAGAUCUGAGUCUAAGUAGUGCGGUAUACAAUGAGAGAUCAUUAGAACAUGACCCAUCGGUCUGUUACAAUAAAUGAAGGAAAGUACUUAUUCCAAGAAGAAGAAGGAGUCCUCAAUAAGGAUUUAUUUUGUAACUCGAAGGUUACGAUUGAAGGUCCUAUAAAGAUCUGAAGCUUUUUAGGAUUAGCUGGAUAUUAUUACUGAAUUAUCCAAGGCUUUUCUUCGAUCGCGACUCCAUUGACAACUUUGACCCACAAAGGAGCUGUCUAUACUUGGAAUGAGAAGCAUAGGAAGCUUUGAGAAGUUAAAGAAGAAGUUGUGUGAAGCACCGAUUCUUUCGUUACCUAAAGGAGUUGAUGACUUCACAGUUUAUAGUGAUGCCUCUGGAGUUGGGUUAGGAUGUGUUCUGACCCAAAGGGAUAAGGUGAUAGCGUAUGCAUCGAGGCAAUUGAAAGAGCAUGAAAAGAACUACCCCACUCACGAUUUGGAGUUGGCAGCGGUAGUAUUCGCCCUAAAGAUAUGGAGGCAUUAUCUUUAUGGCACAAAGUGUAAACUUUUCACUGAUCAUAAGAGUCUCCAAUAUCUCUUUAAUCAGAAGGAAUUGAACAUGAGGCAACGACGCUGGCUAGAGUUACUCAAGGACUACGACUGUGAGAUACUUUACCACCCUGGUAAAGCAAAUGUGGUUGCUGAUGCUCUCAGUCGGAAGGUAAACCUUGAAAAGAAAAGGCCAAGAGCGUUGAGAAUUGAAGUUGUCUCGACAAUUGUGGAAAGUAUAAAGAAAGCUCAAGAGGAAGCUUUAGAGAAAAGUGACCGAAAGGAAGAACGUUUGGGCAAAACGUUAGUAUUCGAUACAAACAACCAAGGGUUGAAGGUAUUCCAAGAUAGGAUUUGGGUACCUAAGAUGGGCGGAGUAAGAGAUCUUCUGAUGGAAGAAGCUCACAAGACCAUGUACUCGAUUCAUCCCGGCAGUAAAAAAAUGUAUAGGGAUUUAAAACCCUAUUAUUGGUGGCUGACGAUGAAGCUCGAUGUUGCUAAGUAUGUGGCCGAGUGUGUAACUUGUGCUAGGGUUAAGGCACAACAUCAGAAACCGUAUGGGAGUUUAGAACCUUUACCCGUACCCAUGGGUAAAUGGGAAGACAUCACCAUGGAUUUUGUGACUAAACUGCCCAGAACAAGGAACGGUCACGACAUGAUUUGGGUGGUUGUUGAUCGCUUCACUAAGAGUGUGCAUUUCAUAGCAGCCAACAAGAAAUGGUCUAUGGAUAAACUUGUGAAUUCUUAUGUGAAGGAAAGUGUGAGGCUUCACGGUGUUUCAUUAACGAUUGUAUCUGAUCGUGACAACCGUUUUACCUCAAGGUUUUGGAGGAGUCUAUUAGAGGAAUUGGGUACCAAGGUGUGUUUGAAUACAGCUUACCAUCUGCAAACCGAUGGUCAGAGCGAAUGGACGAUUCAAACGUUGGAGGAUAUGCUGAGAACAUGUACCCUAGAAUUUCAAGGUAACUGGGAUGAACACUUACCUUUAGUAGAAUUCACCUAUAAUAAUAGUUUUCACUCAAGUCUCAAGAUGGUACCUUAUCACGCUUUGCAUGGGAAAAAGUGUUGGAUGCCAUCAUGCUGGCUGGAAGCUGGGGAAAAGCAGUUUAUGGGACUUGAAAUAGUCCAUUAGAUUGCUGAAAUCCCACCUGGGAAACGGAAAGUGACAUAGUGAGUCGCUACCCGUAGUUGUUUGUCGUUGUGUGAUUCCAGGGACGGAAUCAUCCUAAGGGGGAGAGAGUUGUAAUGCCCGUAUUUCUAGGCUAGGCAUUAAUAUUGACAUAAUGGUCUAGGUUAACCUUUGUAACUCAUUUAGAAGAAAUGAAAAGGAAUUAGUGAAUUUUAUGUGAAUUAUGUGUUUUAUGCUUAAUUAUUAGGGUUUAAUUAAUUAAAAAUAAAAAUAAGCAUCAAAAUUAAAGUUUGAGAUAAGCCCGAUGUCUUUACAUAAAGUUGUAGUGGUCGAAACAAGGAUUUCGGGGAUAUAAAGAAUGUUGAAAUCCGAGUUAUAACAAAGAAGUUAUGACCUGUUGAAGUUUCGCGACAAAACCGGUAUGGUGCCGAAUGUCGUAAAAAGUGAGCUUUUGAUAAACUACUUUUUAGCCUUAGUAAUCUAAACGAAAGUCGUAGUAUUCGUUAAACCGAGAAGUUCGAUAAAAAUAACGCCCAAAUCUGACUUUGUAUGAGGAAGUUAUGAUUUUUCGAAGUUUCAGCUUAGUAGUAGACAGCUAAAAACUCGAAUUUUAGAUCGAGCGAUUUUUAGCCAACACAACCUAAAUGAGAAUUGAAGGUCUCGUCAGUAGGAACACAACGGUAAAAAGUCUAACGAAAACGGACGUCGAAUGAAGAAGUUAUGAAUUUUUAACGGAUUUCCUGUCCCGGUCUGUUAAAAAUAAUAAUAUAAAAUUUAAAGUCAAAAUUAGCCGACGAAGUCUAAACGGAAGUUGUAGAGCGUAAUUUUAGCUACGCGUGCAUAUAAAGAACGUCAAAAACGGAGCUCGUAUGCGAAAGAGAUGGAUUUUAGANAUUUUAGAAGUUUUGGCGCGAAAAUCGAGAAAAUUUGCAUAGUCACGAGUUGGCACGUCACCCUCGCUGAAAAAGUGCCACGUGUCCUGCUGAGUCAUCCGAGCUGCUGAGUCACCGAGCUGCUGAGUCAUCCGAAGCCGUGGCACAUCCGAGGAGCGAUGCGUGUGCAGCCUAGCUCCAAGCCUCGCACGUGUAAGACGACUCCGCGGUCCAAUCAGCGAGUGUCACCGAGACCCUCGCUCCUGCUGACCACCUGCGCAUCGGAAACAUGCCUCGGACCAAUCACAGACUGCCAGCGAGCCCUCGAAUGCACAGACCAUGUGCGAGCCUUCGCCUGCGAGCCCUCGGAUCUGCAACGUGUAGUUCAUUCUCAGCCGUCCGAUCAGAAGCUCCACCCUAUAAAUAGAAGGGUGCGAGACCUCCCGGGGGUAUUUUGAAAACUUGUCAUUUUUAGCCCCUUUAUCCGUGUUGCUUUCAUAUUAUCAUCCCCCGAAGCCCCGAUAUCAAUUAUAAGCCCCGGAAUACGCCACGAAGUUCCCGUGAAGCCCGGAAAAUUUAUCUUUUCGGUUUCGAAGCCCGACCUUUCGUAGAGCCCGGUUUCUCAAUAAAACUCCCGGUUUUAUUAGAAACGAUCGUUUUAGGAAACGAAUUUGCUGUCUGAUUUUCAUUCAAUCAUGUGAGUGUGUAGUUACUUUCACCUUACACAUAGAUAUGAAGUAUUUUAUAUAAAAUACGUGUUGUGUGAAUAUAUAUUGUUUUUUUAUUUGAGAUGGGUGCUGAAGGAAUGAUUUAUACAUGUUUUUAAAUAAUUUAAACUAUAUAUGUAUUUUUAUCUACGAAAAACGUUGGGUAAAACAUGGGUAGAUGAAAUAGUGGGUAUGAUGAAAGGUGAGUUGGAUAAAGGAGAUGAUCAAUAAUAUUGAUCAUGAGUUGAGGGUGAGUGGUGAAAAUUUGAGAGAAUCACUUACCCAAAUUGUUGGCCCCCGUCAUUCAGCAGAGUAUGGAUGACAACCAUGGACUAUUCUAGACAGUCUAUGGAACACUAGCAGGCCCGCAACCUGUAGGUGUAAUGAACUAUAUGUUCAUUUGUUGUACUCUAAAACCCAUUGACAUGUAUUGCAGGAGAGAAUACCUGUAAAUAAUACUGUCGAUAAAUGAGAGCUAUGGACUUAGCACAUGUUGAAUAAACUUUGGCAGCUAUGGAAUUAGUGCCCGUUGUAUAAACCCCGGUCACGAGGUGACUUUGUG
rnacentral:lncRNA from 1 species